UGCAUUAUUAAUAUCUAAUUGAUGAAUAGGCCAGUUAAAUUUCGUAGCUAUGGCUAGAAAUAUUCUCACAGUGACCAAUUUAGCUACAGGUGAGAAGUUGUCAUGGUAAUCAAUUCCAACCAAUUGACUAUACCCUUUUGCAACCAACCUAGCCUUGUACUUGUCUACAGUGCCAUCUGGCCUAUAUUUGACUCUAAGUGGGUACAUAGAAUUGCUUUUUUGCCUUUGGGAAGGGUGGCAAGGACCCAGGUAUUAUUUCUCUCUAAAGCCCCC
rnacentral:misc_RNA from 1 species